UACGUAGGGUGCAAGCGUUAAUCGGAAUUACUGGGCGUAAAGCGUGCGCAGGCGGCUUUGCAAGACAGAUGUGAAAUCCCCGGGCUCAACCUGAGAACUGCAUUUGUGACUGCAUGGCUGGAGUGCGGCAGAGGGGGAUGGAAUUCCGCGUGUAGCAGUGAAAUGCGUAGAUAUGCGGAGGAACACCGAUGGCGAAGGCAAUCCCCUGGGCCUGCACUGACGCUCAUGCACGAAAGCGUGGGGAGCAAACAGG
rnacentral:rRNA from 1 species